rnacentral:rRNA from 1 species
GACGAACGCUGGCGGCGUGCCUAACACAUGCAAGUCGAACGGUGAACCUCUUCGGAGGGGAUCAGUGGCGAACGGGUGAGUAACACGUGGGCAACCUGCCCCCGGCUCUGGGAUAACUCCAAGAAAUUGGGGCUAAUACCGGAUGUUCACCGCUUCCCGCAUGGGUGGUGGUGGAAAGGGUUUCCGGCUGGGGAUGGGCCCGCGGCCUAUCAGCUUGUUGGUGGGGUAGUGGCCUACCAAGGCGACGACGGGUAGCCGGCCUGAGAGGGUGACCGGCCACACUGGGACUGAGACACGGCCCAGACUCCUACGGGAGGCAGCAGUAGGGAAUAUUGCGCAAUGGGCGGAAGCCUGACGCAGCGACGCCGCGUGGGGGAUGACGGCCUUCGGGUUGUAAACCUCUUUCAGCAGGGACGAAGCGCAAGUGACGGUACCUGCAGAAGAAGCACCGGCCAACUACGUG